GAUCAUGGCUCAGGAUGAACGCUAGCUACAGGCUAACACAUGCAAGUCGAGGGGCAUCAGGGUCUGUGCUUGCACAGAUGCUGGCGACCGGCGCACGGGUGAGUAACGCGUAUCCAACCUUCCCCCUUAGUAGAGGAUAGCCCGGCGAAAGUCGGAUUAAUACUCUAUGUUGUUCGAUGCGGACAUCUAAGUUGAACCAAAGGUUUACCGCUAAGGGAUGGGGAUGCGUCUGAUUAGGUAGUAGGCGGGGUAACGGCCCACCUAGCCAACGAUCAGUAGGGGUUCUGAGAGGAAGGUCCCCCACAUUGGAACUGAGACACGGUCCAAACUCCUACGGGAGGCAGCAGUGAGGAAUAUUGGUCAAUGGACGAGAGUCUGAACCAGCCAAGUAGCGUGCAGGAUGACGGCCCUAUGGGUUGUAAACUGCUUUUAUGCGGGGAUAAAGUGAGGGACGUGUCCCUUAUUGUAGGUACCGCAUGAAUAAGGACCGGCUAAUUCCGUGCCAGCAGCCGC
rnacentral:rRNA from 1 species